AUUGAACGCUGGCGGCAGGCCUAACACAUGCAAGUCGAACGAGUGGCGGACGGGUGAGUAAUGUAUGGGAAACUGCCUGAUGGAGGGGGAUAACUACUGGAAACGGUAGCUAAUACCGCAUACCAUCAGAUGUGCCCAGAUGGGAUUAGCUAGUUGGUGGGGUAACGGCUCACCAAGGCAACGAUCCCUAGCUGGUCUGAGAGGAUGACCAGCCACACUGGAACUGAGACACGGCCCAGACUCCUACGGGAGGCAGCAGUGGGGAAUAUUGCACAAUGGGCGCAAGCCUGAUGCAGCCAUGCCGCGUGUAUGAAGAAGGCCUUCGGGUUGUAAAGUACUUUCAGCGGGGAGGCGGUACCCGCAGAAGAAGCACCGGCUAACUCCGUGCCAGCAGCCGCGGUAAUUC
rnacentral:rRNA from 1 species